CUGGAAAUGUCACUCAGUGGUAAGAGUGCUUGCCUAGAAUGCAUGAGGUCCUGGGUUCAAUCUCCAGUACUGAAA
rnacentral:tRNA from 1 species